rnacentral:misc_RNA from 1 species
GAUGAAGAACGUAGCGAAAUGCGAUAAGUAAUGUGAAUUGCAGAAUUCAGUGAAUCAUCGAAUCUUUGAACGCACAUUGCGCCCGUCAGUCUUCUGGCGGGCAUGCCUGUUCGAGCGUCAUUACGCCCCUCAAGUCCCCUGUGGACUUGGUGUUGGGGAUCGGCGAGGCUGGUUUUCCAGCACAGCCGUCCCUUAAAUUAAUUGGCGGUCUCGCCGUGGCCCUCCUCUGCGCAGUAGUAAAACACUCGCAACAGGAGCCCGGCGCGGUCCACUGCCGUAAAACCCCCCAACUUUUUAUAGUUGACCUCGAAUCAGGUAGGACUACCCGCUGAACUUAAGCAUAUCAAUAAGCGAGGA